rnacentral:rRNA from 1 species
GAUGAACGCUGGCGGCGUGCCUAAUACAUGCAAGUAGAACGCUGAAGGAGGAGCUUGCUCUUCUGGAUGAGUUGCGAACGGGUGAGUAACGCGUAGGUAACCUGCCUGGUAGCGGGGGAUAACUAUUGGAAACGAUAGCUAAUACCGCAUGACAACAGUUAUUGCAUGAUAACUGUUUAAAAGGGGCAACUGCUCCACUACCAGAUGGACCUGCGUUGUAUUAGCUAGUUGGUGAGGUAACGGCUCACCAAGGCGACGAUACAUAGCCGACCUGAGAGGGUGAUCGGCCACACUGGGACUGAGACACGGCCCAGACUCCUACGGGAGGCAGCAGUAGGGAAUCUUCGGCAAUGGACGGAAGUCUGACCGAGCAACGCCGCGUGAGUGAAGAAGGUGUUCGGAUCGUAAAGCUCUGUUGUAAGAGAAGAACGAGUGUGAGAGUGGAAAGUUCACACUGUGACGGUAUCUUACCAGAAAGGGACGGCUAACUACGU